rnacentral:lncRNA from 1 species
UUUGUUCUAUAAAGUGAACUAUAAGCAACAUGAUGAAGCUUGAUCUAAGUCUCUAAUGGAGAAGAUCAAUGACCAGCUACAUCUUCUUCAUCAAGUUGAAGAGACCAUGGUAUUGUAUUAUUACAAAUAAACUACCUCAUAAAAUCUUGUUGAUAUUUUUCUACUUGUGUGAACUUUUGGAAACUUUUACUUGCAGGUGGCUGGGAAGAAGACUGAAGUUUGUUUACCUAACAAGUUGCCUUGGUUCAAGAAUUGCGCGCAAACUAGUUUGAUGUUCAUCAACCAUCAAGAGUGAAGCAUGCAUACCAAUCAGCAUUACUGCUAUUCAUCCAAAAGUAUGAAUUAGAAGGACAUUGCUAUAUAUUUCAUUGGCAAGUCAGUCAACUUGGCUAUUACAUUACAUAAUUCAACCAUUUUUUUUUUUCGCCAUUACAAUGUAUAUUUGAACUGUCUUUCCUUGAAAUAUAUUGAAUCAAUCUAAUGAAGAUUUGCAAUGUUCUUAUUAGUUAUCUGUAAUUCUGAAAGAUAAAAUGAUGGUGGUUUGAUGAGCAUUUGGGAAGAUGAGCAAAAAAGCCC